GGCGGAUGUAGCCAAGUGGAUCAAGGCGGU
rnacentral:tRNA from 1 species